AUGCAGCGUGGUUCUCUUUUUUCCUCAUUUUAAGAAUACCUGGUUGUGGAUUUGUUUUUGAAGAAGUUAUUCGGAGUUUGUGCGUCAGCUGACAAAGUUGAGCACAAAGCGGAGAGGAGCGUUCCUUUGUUCCGAGGAGUGCUUUGGGAUAUCAUGCAUAGACACCCCCAGUUAUCUUGUUCCUUAACACUGAAGGCAACUGGACAGACUUCGGAAACUUGCAUUCACUUGUGACAUUUGGAAUGGGAUGCUAUCAGCAAAAUUUUGGAUUUACAGCCAUACAGUGGUUUUUAUGACAAGACGCCAACAACAAAAUGUGGACAAGCCCGCCCAAAAGGCCAGUGAAGAUGGAGGGGAAUGCAGUGUGGAGCUGAGGAGCCAAACAGAUGCCGUGUGUGAGAGGGGGCCCUUUUUGGAUGAUUAUCGGGGGUGAAGCUUAUCCUGGUUUCCAUGAUGUAAAACAACUUGUUGAACAUGCUCGUCCCCUGCAUAGGAUGUUGAUGGAAAGAUUGCCAUGACCCGCUGGAAACAUUUUCUCCCAUGUCUUUGAUUCAGCUGGGGAUAGAACCCACCACCUGCUGAUGAAUGGGUAUACAGAAAUCAC